rnacentral:tRNA from 1 species
UCAAAUGGUAGAUUGUUUGCCUUCCAAGCUUUUAAUGUGGGUUCAACUCCCACUACCUG